UAGGGAAUCUUCCGCAAUGGACGCAAGUCUGACGGAGCAACGCCGCGUGAGUGAAGAAGGAUUUCGGUUCGUAAAACUCUGUUGUUAGAGAAGAACAGCGCAUAGAGUAACUGUUAUGCGUGUGACGGUAUCUAACCAGAAAGCCACGGCUAACUACGUGCCAGCAGCCGCGGUAAUACGUAGGUGGCAAGCGUUGUCCGGAUUUAUUGGGCGUAAAGCGAGCGCAGGCGGUCAAUUAAGUCUGAUGUGAAAGCCCCCGGCUCAACCGGGGAGGGUCAUUGGAAACUGGUUGACUUGAGUGCAGAAGAGGAGAGUGGAAGUCCAUGUGGAGCGGUGAAAUGCGUAGAUAUAUGGAGGAACACCAGUGGCGAAGGCGACUCUCUGGUCUGUAACUGACGCUGAGGCUCGAAAGCGUGGGUAGCAAACAGG
rnacentral:rRNA from 1 species